AGGGAAACCGAGUCUUAACCGGGCGUUAAGUUGCAGGGUAUAGACCCGAAACCCGGUGAUCUAGCCAUGGGCAGGUUGAAGGUUGGGUAACACUAACUGGAGGACCGAACCGACUAAUGUUGAAAAAUUAGCGGAUGACCUGUGGCUGGGGGUGAAAGGCCAAUCAAACCGGGAGAUAGCUGGUUCUCCCCGAAAGCUAUUUAGGUAGCGCCUCGUGAACUCAUCUCCGGGGGUAGAGCACUGUUUCGGCUAGGGGGCCAUCCCGGCUUACCAACCCGAUGCAAACUGCGAAUACCGGAGAAUGUUAUCACGGGAGACACACGGCGGGUGCUAACGUCCGUCGUGAAGAGGGAAACAACCCAGACCGCCAGCUAAGGUCCCAAAGUCAUGGUUAAGUGGGAAACGAUGUGGGAAGGCCCAGACAGCCAGGAUGUUGGCUUAGAAGCAGCCAUCAUUUAAAGAAAGCGUAAUAGCUCACUGGUCGAGUCGGCCUGCGCGGAAGAUGUAACGGGGCUAAACCAUGCACCGAAGCUGCGGCAGCGACACUCAGGUGUUGUUGGGUAGGGGAGCGUUCUGUAAGCCUGUGAAGGUGUGUCGUGAGGCAUGCUGGAGGUAUCAGAAGUGCGAAUGCUGACAUAAGUAACGAUAAAGCGGGUGAAAAGCCCGCUCGCCGGAAGACCAAGGGUUCCUGUCCAACGUUAAUCGGGGCAGGGUGAGUCGACCCCUAAGGCGAGGCCGAAAGGCGUAGUCGAUGGGAAACGGGUUAAUAUUCCCGUACUUGGUGUUACUGCGAAGGGGGGACGGAGAAGGCUAUGUUGGCCGGGCGACGGUUGUCCCGGUUUAAGCGGGUAGGUGUGUGUUCCAGGUAAAUCCGGUCCACUUUAACACUGAGGCGUGAUGACGAGGCACUACGGUGCUGAAGCAACAAAUGCCCUGCUUCCAGGAAAAGCCUCUAAGCAUCAGGUAACAUCAAAUCGUACCCCAAACCGACACAGGUGGUCAGGUAGAGAAUACCAAGGCGCUUGAGAGAACUCGGGUGAAGGAACUAGGCAAAAUGGUGCCGUAACUUCGGGAGAAGGCACGCUGACACGUAGGUGAAGUGAUUUACUCA
rnacentral:rRNA from 2 species